CCUACGGGUGGCUGCAGUGGGGAAUAUUGCACAAUGGGCGCAAGCCUGAUGCAGCCAUGCCGCGUGUGUGAAGAAGGCCUUCGGGUUGUAAAGCACUUUCAGCGGGGAGGAAGGCGUUAAGGUUAAUAACCUUGUCGAUUGACGUUACCCGCAGAAGAAGCACCGGCUAACUCCGUGCCAGCAGCCGCGGUAAUACGGAGGGUGCAAGCGUUAAUCGGAAUUACUGGGCGUAAAGCGCACGCAGGCGGUCUGUCAAGUCGGAUGUGAAAUCCCCGGGCUCAACCUGGGAACUGCAUUCGAAACUGGCAGGCUAGAGUCUUGUAGAGGGGGGUAGAAUUCCAGGUGUAGCGGUGAAAUGCGUAGAGAUCUGGAGGAAUACCGGUGGCGAAGGCGGCCCCCUGGACAAAGACUGACGCGCAGGUGCGAAAGCGUGGGGAGCAAACAGGAUUAGAUACCCGGGUAGUC
rnacentral:rRNA from 1 species